UACGUAGGGGGCGAGCGUUGUCCGGAGUUACUGGGCGUAAAGGGCGCGCAGGCGGUCUGGUAAGUUUGGAGUGACAGUGCUCGGCUUAACUGAGCAAGGCCUCGAAAACUAUCAGACUUGAGCACUCAAGAGGGACAUAGAAUUCCGGGUGGAGUGGUGAAAUGCGCAGAUAUCAGGAGGAACACCAAUGGCGAAGGCAGCUCGCUGGGACGGUACUGACGCUGAGGCGCGAAAGCGUGGGGAGCAAACAGG
rnacentral:rRNA from 1 species